rnacentral:rRNA from 1 species
AUUGAACGCUGGCGGCAUGCUUUACACAUGCAAGUCGAACGGUAACAGGCCUUCGGGUGCUGACGAGUGGCGGACGGGUGAGUAAUGCAUCGGAACGUACCCAGAGGUGGGGGAUAACGCAGCUAAAGCUGUGCUAAUACCGCAUGUGAUCUGAGGUUGAAAGCGGGGGACCGAGCAGCAAUGUUUGGCCUCGCGCCUUUGGAGCGGCCGAUGUCGGAUUAGCUAGUUGGUGGGGUAAAGGCCUACCAAGGCGACGAUCCGUAGCUGGUCUGAGAGGACGGCCAGCCACACUGGGACUGAGACACGGCCCAGACUCCUACGGGAGGCAGCAGUGGGGAAUUUUGGACAAUGGGCGCAAGCCUGAUCCAGCAAUGCCGCGUGCGGGAAGAAGGCCUUCGGGUUGUAAACCGCUUUUGGCAGGAACGAAACGGUGUCCGCUAAUACCGGGCGCUAAUGACGGUACCUGCAGAAUAAGCACCGGCUAACUACGUG